GACGAACGCUGGCGGCGUGCCUAACACAUGCAAGUCAACUUGACUGAAGGAGCAAUCUGACAGUAGAGUGGCGCAAGGGUGCGUAACGCGUAAGUAACUUGCCCAAGGUAAGGAAUAACGUCGAGAAUCGGCGCUAAUACCUCAUAAUGCAGCGGAUCCGCAUGGAUAUGUUGUUAAAGGUUUACCGCCUUGGGAUAGGCUUGCGUCUGAUUAGUUAGUUGGUGUGGUAACGGCACACCAAGGCUACGAUCAGUAACUGGUCUGAGAGGAUGAUCAGUCACACUGGAACUGAGACACGGUCCAGACUCCUACGGGAGGCAGCAGUGAGGAAUAUUGGGCAAUGCUCGAAAGAGUGACCCAGCAACGCCGCGUGGAGGAUGAAGGUAUUCUAUAUCGUAAACUCCUGUGAGAGCAGACGAAAGACAGAUUAUUAAUCUGGAUGACUGUAUGCUCAGAGGAAGCCCCGGCUAACUACGUG
rnacentral:rRNA from 1 species